GGGUCAGAACUCUCUGUGAUGUCAUCCUAUCCUUUGGAAUCUGUAUUCUUCUUCUAAGUGCAGUACUGUACUUUUUAUAAAAUAACUCUUGCAGAUGGGAGAAUUUUUAUGGGUAGAAUUUGGGACAUGGGUUCAUUUCAUCUUUCUUGACACCUCCUCCAGCUCCAACUUCCUCCUCCUUUAAGUGCAUACACCUGAAUCACCACCUCCACUUGCAAACUCUUCCUGGUUAGAGCAACUAUCCGUAUGGUGCUCAGCUUCCAGAUGGAGAAUUGUCUAGAUAUUGAAAAGGAAACCAACCUUCAUGGAUUACAGGCAGCCUUAGUGGGAGCCCUCCCUUUCCCCUUGGUGUUGUGAUGAGGGGAGCUUCAACACUGACAGCAACAACCACUCCAAGCCUAAUAGAUUGUGUGUCCUGCUUUUCUCAAAGACUAAACUCUGACAGAGUAGCUGGAAUGCCUGAGAAGCAUUACAACAACAAAGGCAAACAUCUUAAAAUAGAAGAGACAGAAAAAAGAAGGAGAACAGAUAAGAAUCAAACUCCCAGACUGUGCACUCUCCUAUUACAUGGUGGAAUUGUUGAGAAGUAA
rnacentral:lncRNA from 1 species